GGCUUAGAAGCAGCCACUCAUUAAAAGAGUGCGUAAUAGCUCACUGGUCGAGUGAUUCUGCGCCGAAAAUUUAACGGGGCUAAACUAUACACCGAAGCUUAGGAUACCGCAAGGUAUGGUAGGAGAGCGUUCUGUACGGAGUGAAGUCGUAGCGAAAGCGGCGGUGGACUGUACAGAAGUGAGAAUGCCGGAAUAAGUAGCGAGAAUUAAGUGAGAAUCUUAAUGGCCGAAAGUCUAAGGUUUUUGGAGGAAGGUUCGUCCGCUCCAAGUAAGUCGGGAGCUAAGGUCAGGCCGAAAGGCGUAGCCGAUGCACAAACGGUUGAUAUUCCGUUACCGUCUACAAUUUAAACAAAGGGACACAUACAAAGCGUUUAACCCGGGCGAUGGUUGACCCGGGCGCAAGGGACUGAAAUAAGAGUAGGGAAGUAAAUGUGGCGUAUGGCGAGAAAAGCUUUGUGAAUAGAAGUAGACGCCCGUACCGCAAACCGACACAGGUGGACAGGAAGAGAAUUCUAAGGCCAGCGGGAGAAGGGUAGUUAAGGAACUCGGCAAAUUGACUCCGUAACUUCGGAAUAAGGAGUGCUCGAAAGAGCCGCAGAGAAUAGGCCCAGGCGACUGUUUAGCAAAAACACAGGUCUCUGCCAAAUCGAAAGAUGAAGUAUAGGGGCUGACACCUGCCCGGUGCCGGAAGGUUAAGAGGAGGAGUGCAAGCUCCGAAUUGAAGCCCCGGUAAACGGCGGCCGUAACUAUAACGGUCCUAAGGUAGCGAAAUUCCUUGUCGGGUAAGUUCCGACCCGCACGAAUGGUGUAACGAUCUGGGCACUGUCUCAACUACCCACCCGGCGAAAUUGUAGUACCGGUGAAGAUGCCGGUUACCUGCGGCAAGACGGAAAGACCCCAUGGAGCUUUACUGUAGCCUGAUAUUGGGUUUCGGAAAUCUAUGUACAGGAUAGGCGGGAGACUGGGAAGUAUGAGCGUCAGCUUAUACGGAGUCAUUGUUGGGAUACCGCCCUUAGGUUUCUGGAAUUCUAACCUGCGACCGUGAAUCCGGUCGGGGGACAUUGUCAGGUGGGCAGUUUGACUGGGGCGGUCGCCUCCGAAAAGGUAACGGAGGCGCUCAAAGGUUGGCUCAGCACGGACGGAAACCGUGCCUCAGAGUGUAAACGCAAAAGCCAGCCUAACUGCGAGGAUGACGGUCCGAGCAGUAACGAAAGUUGGAGUUAGUGAUCCGGCGGUAUGUGAAUGGAAAUGCCGUCGCUCAACGGAUAAAAGCUACCCUGGGGAUAACAGGCUGAUCUCCCCCAAGAGUCCACAUCGACGGGGAGGUUUGGCACCUCGAUGUCGGCUCAUCGCAUCCUGGGGCUGAAUUCGGUCCCAAGGGUUUGGCUGUUCGCCAAUUAAAGCGGUACGCGAGCUGGGUUCAGAACGUCGUGAGACAGUUCGGUCCCUAUCUGUCGUGGGCGUUGGAUAUUUGAAAGGAGCUGUCCCUAGUACGAGAGGACCGGGAUGGACGCACCUCUGGUGCACCAGUUGUCACGCCAGUGGCACAGCUGGGCAGCUAUGUGCGGAACGGAUAAACGCUGAAGGCAUCUAAGCGUGAAGCCGCCCUUAAGAUAAGAUAUCCCUUCUGUUUACAGAGUAAGACCCCUUGAAGACUACAAGGUUGAUAGGCUCAAAGUGUAAGCACGGUGACGUGUUUAGCUAGCGAGUACUAAUCGGUCGAGGGCUUAACCU
rnacentral:rRNA from 1 species